CUGAUUUGUUCGAGAUUAGGGCAUGUCCGAGAAAGAAGACAGAGGCAGGCAGUGAUCGUGGGAAGACGGAGCAGUGGUGGUUCGCGGUUGGCGACUUCUUCUUCGUUGUCAGUGGUUGUCUCUGUUUGGGGUUCGUUCUUUCGGGUUCGCUCUUUGGGGUUCGCAAUGUCUUCGAAUCACGGUUGUUCGUCUUGCUCAUAGGGGAGCUGUCGCGGUGGUUCAUCCAGAGGAUUGGUUGGAAGCAUGAUAUCAGAAUCCUCAAGGGGCACAGAACGAGCAUGAUCCAAAUAAUACAACUAUUUUUGUCGGCAAUUUGGAUCCUAAUGUUACCGAUGACCAUUUGAGACAAGUUUUUGGGCAGUAUGGAGAGUUAGUUCACGUGAAGAUUCCAGCUGGCAAGAGAUGUGGAUUUGUCCAAUUUGCGGACAGGAGCUGUGCAGAAGAAGCUUUGCGGGUUUUAAACGGCACACUUUUGGGUGGACAAAAUGUUCGGCUUUCAUGGGGCCGAAGUCCUUCAAACAAACAAGCCCAACCAGAUGCGAAUCAGUGGAAUGGCAGUGGUGGUUACUAUGGAUAUGCUGCGCAGGGUUAUGAAAAUUAUGGUUAUGCUCCUGCUGGACAAGAUCCCAAUAUGUAUGGCAGUUAUCCGGGCUACGCAAAUUACCAACCUCCUCAGCAACAACAGCAAAUAGGAUAUAGCUAAGCAAGUUCUGCCCCAAUUUUCCGUUUUCUUCUGUAAUCCUAUCCUAUCUAUGAUACUCGUUUUGGUUCUUACUCUAAUUGUCUCAUUGAGAACAAACUUGGCUCAUUUACCUUCCUAUCAUUGCUAUUAGCAUUAAACAUUCUAUGCGAACUUUUAUUUUGUACCCAUUAAA